rnacentral:misc_RNA from 1 species
GACAGAAACAGUGUUUCCAAAUCUCUCUGAGCCUGUAAAGCGUAACUACAGACUAUUUGCUGUUGACCUUUUGGGAUUUGGAAGAAGCCCUAAGCCAAAGGAUUGUUUUUACACUCUAACAGAUCACUUGGAGAUGAUUGAAAAAUCUGUGAUUAAACCAUUUGAGUUGAAGUCUUUCCAUCUUGUCGCGCAUUCCAUGGGCUGCACUAUUUCAUUAGCUCUUGCUGCAAUACUCAAAUUGUGUGAAAUCAAUCGUC